rnacentral:rRNA from 1 species
GGAUUGAACGCUGGCGGCAUGCCUUACACAUGCAAGUCGAACGGUAGAGUAGCAAUACUCGAGAGUGGCGAACGGGUGAGUAAUAUAUCGGAACGUGCCCAGUCGUGGGGGAUAACGUAGAGAAAUUUACGCUAAUACCGCAUACGAUCUACGGAUGAAAGCGGGGGAUCGCAAGACCUCGCGCGAUUGGAGCGGCUGAUAUCAGAUUAGGUUGUUGGUGACGGUAAAAGCUCACCAAGCCGACGAUCUGUAGCUGGUUUGAGAGAACGACCAGCCACACUGGGACUGAGACGCGGCCCAGACUCCGUACGGGAGGCAGCAGUGGGGAAUUUUGGACAAGUGGGCGAAAGCCUGAUCCAGCAAUGCCGCGUGCAGGAAGAAGGUCCGUUCGGUUAGUAACGUGUCGUUUAGUAACGGAACGAAAGGCUCGUUACUAAAGUAAA